GAUGAACGCUGGCGGCGUGCCUAAUACAUGCAAGUCGAGCGAGAAGCUUGGAAAUGACGCUUCGGUUGAUUUUCCAAGCGGACAGCGGCGGACGGGUGAGUAACGCGUAGGCAACCUGCCCCUGACAGAGGGAUAGCCAUUGGAAACGAUGAUUAAAACCUCAUGACACCGUAGUAGCACAUGCUACAUCGGUCAAAGAUUUAUCGGUCAGGGAUGGGCCUGCGUCUGAUUAACUGGUUGGUGAGGUAACGGCUCACCAAGGUGACGAUCAGUAGCCGACCUGAGAGGGUGAUCGGCCACAUUGGAACUGAGACACGGUCCAAACUUCUACGGAAGGCAGCAGUAGGGAAUCUUGCACAAUGGGCGAAAGCCUGAUGCAGCAAACGCCGCGUGAAGGAUGAAGGCCUUCGGGUUGUAAACUU
rnacentral:rRNA from 1 species